rnacentral:rRNA from 1 species
GACGUAGGAGGCGAGCGUUGUCCGGAUUCAUUGGGCGUAAAGAGCACGCAGGCGGUUUGGCAAGUCGGACGUGAAAAUCCGGGGCUCAACCCCGGACCUGCAUCCGAAACUGCCCGACUAGAGGUAGGUAGGGGAGAUCGGAAUUCCUGGUGUAGCGGUGAAAUGCGCAGAUAUCAGGAGGAACACCGGUGGCGAAGGCGGAUCUCUGGGCCUUACCUGACGCUGAGGCGCGAAAGCUAGGGGAGCAAACAGG